rnacentral:rRNA from 1 species
UACGUAGGGUGGCGAGCGUUGUCCGGAUUUACUGGGCGUAAAGGAUGCGUAGGCGGAUAUUUAAGUGAGAUGUGAAAUACCCGGGCUUAACUUGGGUGCUGCAUUUCAAACUGGAUAUCUAGAGUGCGGGAGAGGGAGAGUGGAAUUCCUGGUGUAGCGGUGGAAUGCGCAGAUAGUCAGGAAGAACACCCGUGGCGAAGGCGGCUCUCUGGAACGCAACUGACGCUGAGACGGCGAAAGCGUGGGGAGCAAACAGG